rnacentral:ncRNA from 1 species
UAAUUUGGUUGUACGGGCGUCUAUAUCAGCAAUGAUAUAGAUCAUCACUGGGUGAAUUGCUGGAACAUCCUAAGAGCUCUUCUACCAAAGCGGAACUGGAAACGGUAAACGUAACGGUUUGAAAAGUGAAGAGAUUGGACAAUCAGCAGCGAAGCCCCUGUCGGGAAACCGUGGGGAACGUUCAACGACUAGGAUAUACCGUCUAAGGCGAAAGCUAUGACGAUGAAAUCCGUAGGGUGUUACGAGUCGUAACAUUCGAAGUGCCCAGCCCCUUAUGUAGGGUGAAGAUAUAGUCUAUACUAUGUUCGAAAGGCAUAG